GACGAACGCUGGCGGCGUGCCUAAUACAUGCAAGUCGAACGCAUUUUCUUUCACCGUAUCUUGCUACACCGAAAGAAAAUGAGUGGCGAACGGGUGAGUAACACGUCGGUAACCUGCCCAUCAGCGGGGGAUAACACUUGGAAACAGGUGCUAAUACCGCAUAAUUCCAUUUACCGCAUGGUAAAUGGAUGAACGGCGCUUUUGCGUCACUGAUGGAUGGACCCGCGGUGCAUUAGCUAGUUGGUGGGGUAACGGCCUACCAAGGCUGCGAUGCAUAGCCGGACUGAGAGGGGGGGCGGCCCCACUGGGAAUGGGACACGGGCCCAACACCUAGAGGGGGGGGCAGUAGGGAAACUUCGGGAAUAGGCGCAAAACUGACCGGAAAACGCCGCGGGAUUGGAGAAGGGUUUCGGGUCGUAAAAAUCUGUUGUUAGGGGAAAAAAAGGGUGGGGGUGGAAAGUUCAUUCCUUGACGGUAACUAACCAAAAAGGCACGGCUAACUACGUG
rnacentral:rRNA from 1 species